rnacentral:rRNA from 1 species
UACGGGAGGCAGCAGUGGGGAAUAUUGCACAAUGGGCGCAAGCCUGAUGCAGCCAUGCCGCGUGUAUGAAGAAGGCCUUCGGGUUGUAAAGUACUUUUCAGUCGUGAGGAAGGUGUUAAGGUUAAUAACCUUAGCAAUUGACGUUAGCGACAGAAGAAGCACCGGCUAACUCCGUGCCAGCAGCCGCGGUAAUACGGAGGGUGCGAGCGUUAAUCGGAAUUACUGGGCGUAAAGGGCACGCAGGCGGUUAAUUAAGUUGGAUGUGAAAUCCCCGGGCUUAACCUGGGAAUGGCAUUCAAGACUGGUUAGCUAGAGUCUUGUAGAGGGGGUAGAAUUCCAUGUGUAGCGGUGAAAUGCGUAGAGAUGUGGAGGAAUACCGGUGGCGAAGGCGGCCCCUGGGACAAAGGACUGACGCUCAUGUGCGAAAGCGUGGGGAGCGAAACAGGGAUUAGA